UAGGGAAUCUUCGGCAAUGGACGAAAGUCUGACCGAGCAACGCCGCGUGAGUGAAGAAGGUUUUCGGAUCGUAAAACUCUGUUGUUAGAGAAGAACAAGGACGUUAGUAACUGAACGUCCCCUGACGGUAUCUAACCAGAAAGCCACGGCUAACUACGUGCCAGCAGCCGCGGUAAUACGUAGGUGGCAAGCGUUGUCCGGAUUUAUUGGGCGUAAAGCGAGCGCAGGCGGUUUCUUAAGUCUGAUGUGAAAGCCCCCGGCUCAACCGGGGAGGGUCAUUGGAAACUGGGAGACUUGAGUGCAAAAGAGGAGAGUGGAAUUCCAUGUGUAGCGGUGAAAUGCGUAGAUAUAUGGAGAAACACCAGUGGCGAAGGCGGCUCUCUGGUCUGUAACUGACGCUGAGGCUCGAAAGCGUGGGGAGCAAACAGG
rnacentral:rRNA from 1 species